rnacentral:snRNA from 1 species
AUCACUUCUCAGCCUUUUGGCUAAGAUCAAGUGUAAUAUCUGUUCUUAUCAGUUUAAUGCUAUACAGAAGAGUUUAAAUUGAGUCAUUUAUAGGAGAAUAGAUAUACCUUAA